GUGCUCACUUCGGCUUCACAUAUAUGAAAAUCGCAAUGACACAAAGAUUAGCAUGGCCCCUGCACAAGAAUGACAUGCAAAUUCGUGAAGAGUUCCAUAUUUUU
rnacentral:snRNA from 1 species